rnacentral:ncRNA from 1 species
GGGGGGCGUGCGAUCCCCCCGUGAGGCGACAGCCCAAGCAUCGC